rnacentral:lncRNA from 1 species
CUCAACAAAUAAAGUUUCAAAUUUUUUGUCAGCAAAAAUUCAUGUAAAUAAUAUUUUAUUAAUAAUAAAUUUAAUGUAAAAAUUAGCAGUGCUCCAUUUAUAGGGACAGUAAGCUCAAGUAUUAAGUUGGUUAUUCCAAUAAUAUGCAUUGAUAAGAAUAAAUUUGAGAAACAUACAAAUUCUGAGACCUUCCAAAUAUUUUAAAUAUUCCUGAAGCAACACAGAACUUAAUAACAGCUGCAAGAAGCCGGGCGCGGUAUCUUUGCGCAAAAUUAGGGCUCUAUCAAACUGAUGCUGUAAGAGAAAAGCACGAUGGGAGAACUUGACAUUAGAGGCCUUUGAGUGCAAUGGACUAGGCUCUAACUUCAUGUAUGGUAUGUAAAAAAUUUUGUUCAUGUGGCAAAAUUGAUUAUAUUAUUAUAGUACAUGACUCCUCAGUUAAAAACACUAAAAAGCCUCCUCAUUAAGUCCUCACAAUGACUCUGUGAGGUGUGUCCAGGCAUUUACAUUUUCAGAUAAGGAAAAUAAGGCUUAGAGAGUUUAAAUUACUCGACCCAGGUCACAGAACUGCAGAGAUUCCAACUCAACUCUACCUGAUCCUGAGGCUCACACCACAGAGCAUCACACUAAACUGCUUCAGGUAAACUGUUUGUUUCUUCUGAGAAUAUUAUAUUACCAAUUUAACUGUACUCAAAAUAACCUGUACUGGCAAGUGACUCAAGCAUGUGAGUGGUGGGGACAUGAAAGUGGUUAUCUGACGCUAGCUAGUAGCACUGCUCUAGCUUCCCGUCUUCCCAGUGUCACUGAGACUGGUUGUUUCCUGGAGGAGAGA